GAGUUUGAUCCUGGCUCAGGAUGAACGCUAGCGGCAGGCUUAAUACAUGCAAGUCGAGGGGCAGCAGCUUUAUAGCAAUAUAGAGGCUGGCGACCGGCAAACGGGUGCGGAACACGUACACAACCUUCCUUGAAUAGGGGGAUAGCCCAUAGAAAUGUGGAUUAAUACCCCGUAAUAUAGCGGUGUGGCAUCACACUGUUAUUAUAGUUUCGGCGAUUCGAGAUGGGUGUGCGGCUGAUUAGGUAGUUGGCGGGGUAAAGGCCCACCAAGCCUUCGAUCAGUAGCUGAUGUGAGAGCAUGAUCAGCCACACGGGCACUGAGACACGGGCCCGACUCCUACGGGAGGCAGCAGUAAGGAAUAUUGGUCAAUGGACGCAAGUYUGAACCAGCCAUGCCGCGUGAAGGAUGAAGGUCCUCUGGAUUGUAAACUUCUUUUAUAGGGGGCGAAAAAAGGUCUUCUAGAUCACUGACAGUACCGUAGAAGUUGAC
rnacentral:rRNA from 1 species